rnacentral:rRNA from 1 species
UACGAAGGGGGCUAGCGUUGCUCGGAAUCACUGGGCGUAAAGAGCUCGUAGGCGGCUCAGUAAGUCGGGUGUGAAACCUCCAGGCUCAACCUGGAGACGCCACCCGAUACUGCUGUGGCUUGAGUCCGGUAGGGGAGCGUGGAAUUCCUGGUGUAGCGGUGAAAUGCGCAGAUAUCAGGAGGAACACCAGCGGCGAAGGCGGCGCUCUGGGCCGGAACUGACGCUGAGGAGCGAAAGCGUGGGUAGCAAACAGG